GGGAAUGUGGCUUAGUGGUAGAGUACUUGCCUAGCAUGCAUGAAGCCAUGGGUUCAAUUCCUCAGUACCA
rnacentral:tRNA from 1 species